rnacentral:rRNA from 1 species
UUGCCCUAGUAACGGCGAGUGAAGCGGCAACAGCUCAAAUUUGAAAUCUGGCUUCUUCGAGGCCCGAGUUGUACUUUGUAGAGGGUGCUUUGGCAUAGGUAGCGGUCUAAGUGCCUUGGAACAGGACGUCAUAGAGGGUGAGAAUCCCGUAUGUGAUCGCCUGCCUUUGCCGUGUAAAGCCCCUUCGACGAGUCGAGUUGUUUG